rnacentral:rRNA from 1 species
GAUGAACGCUGACAGAAUGCUUAACACAUGCAAGUCUACUUGAACUUCGGUUUGGGUGGCGGCCGGGUGAGUAACGCGUACAGAACUUGCCUCACAGUUAGGGACAACAUUUGGAAACGAAUGCUAAUACCUGAUAUUAUGAUUUUAGGGCAUCCUAAGAUUAUGAAAGCUAUAUGCACUGUGAGAGAGCUUUGCGUCCCAUUAGCUAGUUGGCGAGGUAACGGCUCACAAAGGCGAUGAUGGGUAGCCGGCCUGAGAGGGUGAACGGCCACAAGGGGACUGAGACACGGCCAUUACUCAUACGGGAGGCAGCAGUGGGGAAUAUUGGAAAAUGGACCAAAAGUCUGAUCCAGCAAUUCUGUGUGCACGAUGACGUUUUUCGGAAUGUAAAGUGCUUUCAGUUGGGAAGAAAAAAAUGACGGUACCAAAAGAAGAAGUGACGGCUAAAUACGUG